rnacentral:rRNA from 1 species
GGUUAAGUUAGAAAGGGCGCACGGUGGAUGCCUUGGCACUAGGAGCCGAAGAAGGACGGGACUAACACCGAUAUGCUUUGGGGAGCUGUACGUAAGCGUUGAUCCAGAGAUUUCCGAAUGGGGGAA